rnacentral:misc_RNA from 1 species
CGCCGAAGGUGGGGCUGAUGACUGGGGUGAAGUCGUAACAAGGUAGCCGUACCGGAAGGUGCGGCUGGAUCACCUCCUAACAGGGAGACAAUAAAUUGAUUGUGAUUGUAUUUWWGGUCAAGCUACAAAGGGCUCAUGGCGGAUACCUUGUCACACAAAGGCGAUAAGGUCAUAACUGUUUCCUGAGAUGAUUCUUUGAUUUCAGUUCCUAAACUUGGAUAGGUCACACCCAACAAAGGUCUCUCCGGGGCCAUCUUCUCACGUGGAUACAGCGAACCCCUGACAAUGAUGAGGUCCCUGGUUCAAGUCCAGGAUGGCCCAUUCGUUGUUGGGGGUAUAGCUCAGUUGGUAGAGCGCCUGCUUUGCAAGCAGGAUGUCAGCGGUUCGAGUCCGCUUACCUCCACUGAAAACUAUCCUGAUAACUAAAUUCUGGAGAAAAAA